rnacentral:rRNA from 1 species
UUGACGCAGUUGCGCCCGAAGCCUUUUGGCCGAGGGCACGUCUGCCUGGGCGUCACGCAUCGCGUCGCCCCCCACAAUUCUCCGUAAAGGGAACUUGUGUUUUGGGGGCGGAUAUUGGUCUCCCGUGCUCACGGCGUGGUUGGCCGAAAUAGGAGUCCUUUCGAUGGACGCACGAACUAGUGGUGGUCGUAAAAACCCUCGUCUUUUGUUUCGUGCUGCUGCUCGCAAGGUAAACUCUUUAAAAACCCCAAUGUGUCGUCUCUUGACGACGCUUCGACCGCGACCCCAGGUCAGGCGGGACUACCCGCUGAGUUUAAGCAUAUAA